rnacentral:lncRNA from 1 species
UUGGCCGGAAGAACGAAAGAUACCGGCAAGCACAGAGCAGCCGUCAAAAGGGGUUCCGUAGAGUGGUCUAACCCCAGGGUAAUCCUUGGAGCUUUCUCCAUGCCCGACAAAGAGAACUUGGUGUGAAUCGGGGUAGCUAGCUACCAGCUCGUCUAACUAAUGUACUGAUGUAAUUCCAUGCAAAUAUGGCUACCCGGCGAACAUGAGGUCCCACUCACUAUUCAUGGCCAGACAAAAAGGGACCACUAGCCUAGAGAAUCAAAUAGGGAAUAGGCCCUGAGUUCACCCGCUUGCCCGAAGAUGAAGGGGAAGAAAGGGAUGCCAGGGACAGAGUAACCGGAGGGGGC